UCCUGGCUUAGGAUGAACGCUGGCGGCGUGCUUAACACAUGCAAGUCGAACGGAGUUUUAACGGAAGUUUCGGAUGGAAGUUAGAACUAGUGGCGGACGGGUGAGUAACGCGUGGGUAACCUGCCUCAGUACAGGGGGAUAACAGUUAGAAAUGACUGCUAACACCGCAUAAUAUAGCGAAACCGCAUGAUUUUGCUAUCAAAUAUUUAUAGGUAUGAGAUGGGCCCGCGUCUGAUUAGCUAGUUGGUGGGGUAAAAGCCUACCAAGGCGACGAUCAGUAGCCGGCUUGAGAGAGUGACCGGCCACAUUGGGACUGAGACACGGCCCAAACUCCUACGGGAGGCAGCAGUGGGGAAUAUUGGACAAUGGGGGAAACCCUGAUCCAGCGAACCGCCGCGUGAGUGAAGAAGUAUUUCGGUAUGUAAAGCUCUAUCAGCAGGGAAGAUAAUGACAGUACCUGACUAAGAAGCCCCGGCUAACUACGUGCCAGCCGCAGC
rnacentral:rRNA from 1 species